AUAAAAAAUUAAAACUGUUUUUUAACGAUUUGUUUACAAACAUUUACAACAUACAUACAAAUAAGUACAUUUCCAUUCUACGUGGUUGGAUGCUUUUGUAUCUUUUUAUUCCUAUACGCACGCACUCCAGCGUUUAAUGAUCCCCAUCAACACUAAAAUCAUAAUUAUUCAAAAUAAACAAAAAACAUCGAAUGCAAUGAAGAACUGUUGCUCGUUGCUCUUCUUGUUGCUGCUGUUGUGGACUUCUGUGUUUUUUGUUAUUGUUGGUGGUGGCUGUGGUGGUGAUGUCGGUGGUAGGCAGCAAUGAAUGCAUCAUAUGUGAUCCGUUGUCUCAACCUCCGGCACCGCUUAACCUGUAGAUAUUCUGACAUGUCAAAUGAUUUUUGUACAAAAAAUAUCUUAUUUUUUAUCCUGCAACACUUGAGCUGUGUUGAAUCGGAAUCUGGCAUCAAAAUUUUUCCAUCACACCUGGAAACGCCAAGGCAACUUUAUAUAUAAAAUGUUGUAUGCCAUCUAAAAGUACAUUCUGUCAACAUUAAAAUAAAAGCUUAAAAUCUGAUA